GAGUCCGAGUUGUAAUUUGCAGAGGGUGCUUUGGUGGUAGUUGCGGUCUAAGUUCUUUGGAACAGGACGUCACAGAGGGUGAGAAUCCCGUAUGUGGUCGCUACUUAUCACCGUGUAAAGCCCCUUCGAC
rnacentral:rRNA from 1 species